rnacentral:tRNA from 1 species
CGGGAUGUGGCGCAGUUUGGCUAGCGCACCUGCUUUGGGAGCAGGAGGUCGCCGGUUCGAGUCCGGCCAUCCCGA